UAGGGAAUCUUCGGGCAAUGGGGGGCAACCCUGACCGAGCAACGCCGCGUGAGUGAAGAAGGUUUUCGGAUCGUAAAGCUCUGUUGUAAGAGAAGAACGUGUGUGAGAGCGGAAAGUUCACACAGUGACGGUAUCUUACCAGAAAGGGACGGCUAACUACGUGCCAGCAGCCGCGGUAAUACGUAGGUCCCGAGCGUUGUCCGGAUUUAUUGGGCGUAAAGCGAGCGCAGGCGGUUUGAUAAGUCUGAAGUAAAAGGCUGUGGCUUAACCAUAGUACGCUUUGGAAACUGUCAAACUUGAGUGCAGAAGGGGAGAGUGGAAUUCCAUGUGUAGCGGUGAAAUGCGUAGAUAUAUGGAGGAACACCGGUGGCGAAAGCGGUUCUCUGGACAGAUACUGACGCUAAAGCGCGAAAGCGUGGGUAGCAAACAGGAUUAGAUACCCUGGUAGU
rnacentral:rRNA from 1 species